GAUUCCAGUGACAGCACUGAUCAGACUGAGUCCUGGUGCGCAGGAGAAGUCAAACAGGACAGUUUCCUGCCUGGAGGAAAAGAAUCUCCAAGUCACAAGAACAUGACUGAUUCAGAGGAUCUUCCCGACCCAGGGAUCAAACCUGCAUCUCCUGCAUUGGCAGGUGGGUUCUUUACCACUAAGCCACCAGCGAGACCCCUUCGACUAUGCUAUUUCUUCUGGGUGUGUGUGGAGGCGGAGUGGUACUGAGGAUGGAAGGAGUACAGAGAGUUACAGCAAACGUAUAAAGCAUCUACCAGCUAAUGAUGCCUCAGUUCAGUCCAGUCGCUCAGUCGUGUCCCACUCUUUGCGACCCCAUGAACCGCAGCACGCCAGGCCUCCCUGUCCAUCACCAACUCCCGGAGUUCACUCAAACUCACGUCCAUCAAGUCAGUGACGCCAUCCAGCCAUCUCAUCCUCUGUCGUCCCCUUCUCCUCCUGCCCUCAAUCUUUCCCAGCAUCAGAGUCUUUACUCUGCCAAAAUUGUGUUUAUUUGUUAAAAAUAUACUUCAUUGUAUUAUAGCAAAACUAAACCCCUCCCCAGUCCCUACCGAGACAGAAUGAUUGGGUUUCAGGGUGAGGUGCCAGCUAGUGUUUUGGGGGGUAUUAAUGUGCCAGCUGCUCCUGCAGUAUUCAUUUUAUUUCCAGUCCCCAGGCUGGUUUUACACGUUUUUUGUGUAAGGGAAUC
ensembl:lncRNA